UCGCUAUGAUGAGUGAUUCUUAAACAUUCGUAGUUUCCACCAAAAGCUUAAGCUGAUGAUGGUCUAACUUCCUUGGAUGUCUGAGCGA
ensembl:snoRNA SNORD14 Small nucleolar RNA SNORD14